CAGUAGCCGCGGGAAUACAGAGGAUGCAAGCGUUAUCCGGAAUGAUUGGGCGUAAAGGGCUCGCAGGCGGUUUCUUAAGUCUGACGUGAAAGCCCCCGGCUCAACCGGGGAGGGUCAUUGGAAACUGGGAAACUUGAGUGCAGAAGAGGAGAGUGGAAUUCCACGUGUAGCGGUGAAAUGCGUAGAGAUGUGGAGGAACACCAGUGGCGAAGGCGACUCUCUGGUCUGUAACUGACGCUGAGAGCGAAAGCGUGGGGAGCGAACAGGAUUAGAGACCCAGUAGUCCCUGUCUCUUAUACAC
rnacentral:rRNA from 1 species